AAAUAGCCCCUUAUGUUUUGAUUCUUUGGCAGUUUUGGACCCCCAAGGCAAAAAAAAAUAAAAAAAUUGACACGUGGCACCUCACUUAGGGUGCCACGUCAGCGUUGACGGAGACAACAAUGGACUGGGGGUCCAAAACUGUCAAAGAAUCAAAAUAUAGGGGGCUGUUU
rfam:Medicago truncatula strain A17 chromosome 6, whole genome shotgun sequence.